GACGAACGCUGGCGGCGUGCCUAAUACAUGCAAGUCGAACGCAGUGGGGACGGGUGAGGAAAACGUGCGUAACCUCCCAUCAGAGGGGAUAACACUUGGAAACAGGUGCUAAACCGAUACUGAUGGAUGGACCCGGGGUGCAUUAGCUAGUUGGUGGGGUAACGGCUCACCAAGGCCACGAUGCAUGGCCGUGCUUGUAGGGUGAUCGGCCACACUGGGACUGAGACACGGUCCAGAAUCCUACGUGAGUCAGCAGGAGGGUAUGGUCGGCAAUGGACGAAAGUCUGAACGAGCAACGCCGCGUGAGUGAAGAAGGUUUGCGGAUCGUAAAACUCUGGUGUUAGGGAGGCGGUAUCGAACCAGAAAGGCACGGCUAACUUCGUGCCAGCAGCCGGGGUAAUAC
rnacentral:rRNA from 1 species